rnacentral:rRNA from 1 species
AUUGAACGCUGGCGGCAUGCCUUACACAUGCAAGUCGAACGGCAGCACGGGUGCUUGCACCUGGUGGCGAGUGGCGAACGAGUGAGUAAUAUAUCGGAACGUACCUUAUUGUGGGGGAUAACGCAGCGAAAGCUGUGCUAAUACCGCAUAAUCCCUAAGGGGGAAAGCGGGGGACCGUAAGGCCUCGCGCGAUUAGAGCGGCCGAUACCUGAUUAGCUAGUGGGUGAGGUAAAGGCUCACCAAGGCAACGAUCAGUAGCUGGUCUGAGAGGACGCUCAGCCACACUGAGACUGAGAGACGGCCCAGACUCCUACGGGAGGCAGCAGUGGGGAAUUUUGGACAAUGGGGGCAACUCUGAUACAGCAAUGCCGCGUGAGUGAAGAAGGCCUUCGGGUUGUAAAGCGCUUUUGUCAGGGAAGAAACAGCAGCUCUAUCACAGUUUGCGAAUGACGGUACCUGAAGAAUAAGCACCGGCUAACUACGUGCCAGCCGCCGCGGUAA